rnacentral:rRNA from 1 species
UACAGAGGGGGCAAGCGUUAUUCGGAAUUAUUGGGCGUAAAGGGCGCGUAGGCGGCUUGGCAAGUGGAAGGUGAAAUCCCUCGGCUUAACCGAGGAACUGCCCUCCAAACUGCUUUGCUUGAGGCCGGGAGAGGUGAGUGGAAUUCCCAGUGUAGCGGUGAAAUGCGUAGAUAUUGGGAGGAACACCAGUGGCGAAGGCGGCUCACUGGACCGGUUCUGACGCUGAGGCGCGAAAGCCAGGGGAGCAAACGGG